UGACAGGCUCCAUGUAUUGGUCAUUCAGAC
rnacentral:piRNA from 1 species